GGAUUGCAGGCUGCAACUCGCCUGUAUGAAGUCGGAAUUGCUAGUAAUCGCGGAUUAGCAUGCCGCGGUGAAUACGUUCCCGGGCCUUGUACACACCGCCCGUCACACCAUGAGAGUCGGGAACACCCGAAGUCGGUAGUCUAACCGCAAGGAGGGCGCCGCCGAAGGUGGGCUUGAUAAUUGGGGUGAAGUCGUAACAAGGUACC
rnacentral:rRNA from 1 species